AUUUUUAAACGCUAGUAUCAUCACAGCUGUGUAUCUGGCCCCCCAUCUGCCAGCACUCACACCGCUAGGCUGAGCUCCUGGAGGGGGCAUGUGCUCUGUUUGUUGACAAAAAGAUUAGCUAAAGCCCAAGGAUGGAAACUAAGGCCCCAGGCCGUGAUUGCCCACGUUUCUUUGUGGACAGCAAAUCUUAGAAACAUCAUGGGGGAAGGGGUGUGUGUGUUCCGCGCUUGUCUGUGUGGGAAGGGGUUGAUUGGUUGGGUCUGUUCUUUCGCUCCUGAUAGAGUCUUCUCAAAAACCUCUCACAGGCUCCGUCCAUGCCACAUCGGUAGCAGCCUCAAGAGUGGAGCAGGCACUGUCGGAAGUGGCUUCGUCUCUGCAGAGCAGUGCCCCUAAGCAGGGCCCGCUGCACCCCUGGAUGACGCUGGCACAGAUCUGGCUCCAUGCAGCUGAAGUCUAUAUCGGCAUCGGGAAGCCUGCAGAAGCCACAGCCUGUACCCAAGAAGCUGCCAACCUCUUCCCAAUGUCCCACAACGUCCUCUACAUGCGCGGCCAGAUUGCUGAGCUCCGGGG
rnacentral:sRNA from 1 species